GUUAGUCUCGUACAGAGAGUGAAGGAGUGAGCUCGCCAAGCACAACCAGCAGGGAUGAAAGGCUAACUCAGUGAACAACAGAAAGACAGACGGACUUCUGAACAGACACACCGACCAGCAGAAACCACUGGGGAAAGCAACAGUCAGCCAGUGCGACUGACUUAGAGUCCCAAACAGCUGUCUUCUUCUGGGGACAACAAAGAGAGGUGGCUCAGCAUGCAAGCAUGGGGACUGGAGUCUCAAAACUUCGAGAAUCCACCUAAACCUGAGUGUGGUGGUGCAUGGCUCUAAUCCCUGUUUACAGACAGAUUCAAGAAUGGAAUAAGUUUUGCUAAGACUGCCACAUGUACAAGGAAAACUAUGGACCCCAGGUUGCCUCCCUGCCCUCUAGUCACAUGAGAAUGGCGUGAUAUGAUACUUACAUGAUCAGGUAAAACUGAUCUAAGGAUUGUGACUUUUUAGGUAAAACUGCUGUUAUGCUUUUCAUUGCGUUUUUAUGCAUUUAUUUGUAUAUGGGCAUGACAACGGCUGAGUGCUCGCUAUGGUGCAUAUAUGGCGAUCAGAGGACAAACUGGUGGGAGUUGGCUCUUUCCUUCUGCAUGUGAGUCUUGGGGAGCAAGCUCAGGUCAUCAGGCUUGGAGACAAGCCCUCUACUCACUGAGCCUUCUCAGCAGCCCUGCGCUUUUUGGCCUGAGUC
ensembl:antisense 0610031O16Rik RIKEN cDNA 0610031O16 gene